UACGGGGGGGGCAAGCGUUGUUCGGAAUUACUGGGCGUAAAGGGCUCGUAGGCGGCCAACUAAGUCGGACGUGAAAUCCCCAGGCUCAACCUGGGAACUGCGUCCGAUACUGGAUGGCUUGAAUCCGGGAGAGGGAUGCAGAAUUCCAGGUGUAGCGGUGAAAUGCGUAGAUAUCUGGAGGAAUACCGGUGGCGAAAGCGGCUCUCUGGAACGGUACUGACGCUGAGACGCGAAAGCGUGGGGAGCGAACAGG
rnacentral:rRNA from 1 species